rnacentral:lncRNA from 1 species
UUAAAUCACAUUGUUAUUACCUUGUUUACGUUUUUGCAAUUCCCGUGGAGACUAAAUAUUUUAUUACUUCGACAAGACUAGUGCACUUGCUAGUUUAGUCCAUCAAGUUUUUUGCGCCUUUGGCGGAGAUUGUUGAUAAUUUCAACAACGCAAUAGUUGUGCGAAAUUUUGAAUUUUGAAUUAUAAUUUCAUUUUUGUUAGUUUUUUUAGUUUUCAAUUUUUAUUUUUUAUUUCCUACUUUUAUUCUGUUUGGUGCAGUGUUACUAAGGUAUUGUUUGUUUGUUAUGUGGGUUUGAGUUCAAUGUUUGAUACCUAUAGACCCAGAAAAUGAAAGAACAUUGCACGCGAUUCAUAGAAAAAAACAAGGAGCAUACAUGUCACGGAAGAAACGAAAUAAGAAAGAGAAUACAUGGAUAAUCUACCAUGAUAGACGCUAGGGGAUUAUUGUAGAAGGACUAACGCUGGACAUAUCUCUUUUGGGUUUCAACCGACUAACCCGGUGACUUUUGAAUUUAAGAAUUAUGUACUUUUAAGUUUGAGAGAUAACUUGUUCGAUGAUCAAGAUAUCAGAGACCAGUGGGAGCAUCUUGCU